CCGUUUCAAUCUGGGAAGGACUGAUGAAGUGGACGUGGCUGUCAAUGCCGCCGGCCGUGACGAUCAUGCCUUCCCCGGCGAUGAUUUCCGUCGAUGCCCCGAUGACGAUGUCCACCUUCUCCAUCACCAGCGGAUUGCCCGCCUUGCCGAUGCCGGCGAUUUUCCCGUCGCGAAUGGCGAUGUCCGCCUUGUAAAUACCGGUAUAAUCCAGGAUUACGGCGUUCGUGAUCACAACGUCCGGGACCCCGUCGGCGCGGGUGGCGAGCGGAUGCUGUCCCAUGCCGUCCCGG
rnacentral:sRNA from 1 species